rnacentral:rRNA from 1 species
AUACGAAGGGUGCAAGCGUUACUCGGAAUUACUGGGCGUAAAGCGUGCGUAGGUGGUUGUUUAAGUCUGUCGUGAAAGCCCUGGGCUCAACCUGGGAAUGGCGAUGGAAACUGGGCGACUAGAGUGUGGCAGAGGGUUGUGGAAUUCCUGGUGUAGCAGUGCAAUGCGUAGAGAUCAGGAGGAACAUCCGUGGCGAAGGCGACUGCCUGGGCCAACACUGACACUGAGGCACGAAAGCGUGGGGAGCAAACAGGAUUAGAUACCCUGGUAGUCCACGCCCUAAACGAUGCGAACUGGAUGUUGGGUGCAAUUCGGCACGCAGUAUCGAAGCUAACGCGUUAAGUUCGCCGCCUGGGGAGUACGGUCGCAAGACUGAAACUCAAAGGAAUUGACGGGG